ensembl:lncRNA novel transcript, antisense to ARHGAP15
UUAGGGAAGACCCAGGCAGGGCGCAAUAUAUUCUUCUUUUUGUUCUCCUGUCUGUCUCCGUUUGCAAUCCCAGCCGCUUUGUAUGGAGAGCUUUUACGCAGCACCUGAAAAUUCAAUUUGAACACCUGUGUCCCCUUCUUUUCAAUCUGGGAGGCUGAAAUUUGACAGACACAUCAUGGCAAAGUUGUGCAGCAGCGAUACAAGUAGAUGCUGAAGAAAAGGGAGGAAUCUGAGCGCAGGAUAAAAUGCUCAAGAAAAUCCCAUUGGUGGAAUGUUUGUGAGAGAAAAAAAAGGUGGCAGAAAGACUGGUAUUAUAGUAGUCCCUGCUUAUCUUCGGGGGAUAUUCUCCAGAAACCCCAUCCCGCCGCCAGUGGAUGCCUGAGACCUUGGAUAGUACCGAACCAGAUUGCCAUCUAUUGGAACAUGUUUCUCUUCCAUCCACAGAUGUAAUGCCUUUUCCAUCUUAACUCAGCACUCAUCAUGCACUGCGGCCAUAACUUUUGCAGUCUGAGGCACAACAGCAAAACUAGCACAAAUUUAUUUUUCCUACUUGACAAUUUCACAGAUGGAAGAUUCAUUCUUAACAUAAAUCAUAGCAACCUCAGCAUACAGUUUUUAUUCUUUCCUUAUUAAGUUGAGACCUUCCACCUUUCCACUGAAUGGAAGCACGUUAUGGCUUCUCUUUGGCAUGUGUGAAUUGCCAGCAUCACCUACUCUUGCACGUUGGGGGCCAUUGUGAAGUAAAAUAAGGAAUCCUCAAACACAAGCACUGUGAUGCCACAACAUUGAUCUGAUAACUAGGAAGGCUACUCUCUGAAUAAUGGCACCAGAGGAGACAGCUUGGAGACUCUGGACAAAGGGAGGAGUUACGUCCUGGUUGGGAGAACUCAUCAUGCUACUCAGAAUGGUGUGCCACUUAUUAAUUGCAUAUUUCUGGAAUUUUCCAUUUCAUACUUUCAGACUAUGGUUGACUUUGGAUAACUGAAACCGUGGAAAGUGAAACCACAGAUAAGGGGGACUGCUGCAUUUUUUUUUUCCCUUCACAAACCUGAUUCUCUGAAGAACCACUUUUGUGACCAAGAGGCCAUGCCGUCCAUCUCUUGAAAGAGUUUGAGCAGGGCCUAAGCCAUGUGUGUACUGCCUGGUACUUGCCCACCACCAAGCAAGCUCAUGGCACAUACUGUGGCCAGCAAAGCAUAUUUGACCUGACCAAUAUUAAUAAUAAUCAACUACUGUUCUAA